GCACUGAUGAAGAGUUCCAAACUAGGACGAAACAGCUUUCCAGUAC
rfam:Trichobilharzia regenti genome assembly, scaffold: TRE_contig0005943